GACGAACGCUGGCGGCGUGCUUAACACAUGCAAGUCGAACGGAAAGGCCCUGCUUUUGUGGGGUGCUCGAGUGGCGAACGGGUGAGUAACACGUGAGUAACCUGCCCUUGACUUUGGGAUAACUUCAGGAAACUGGGGCUAAUACCGGAUAGGAGCUCCUGCUGCAUGGUGGGGGUUGGAAAGUUUCGGCGGUUGGGGAUGGACUCGCGGCUUAUCAGCUUGUUGGUGGGGUAGUGGCUUACCAAGGCUUUGACGGGUAGCCGGCCUGGGAGGGGGACCGGGGACCAGAGGCCUGAGGUAGGGAGCAGACGGCAACGGGAGGCAGCGGGGGGGAGUAUUGCGGAAUGGGGGGAAGCGUGUGACAGCAGCGCCGCGAUCGGAAUGACGGGUUUCGGGUGAUAAACCACUGUCGCCGGAGACAAAGCGGGCGUGACGGUAAUGGAUAAAGAAGCAACGGCUAACUACGUG
rnacentral:rRNA from 1 species